rnacentral:lncRNA from 10 species
UUGUAGAGGAGGAAUCUAAGGUCAAAACAGGUGAAUGACUUGUUCCUGGUCACAGAACUGGGAGGACCCAGGUCUCCUUGUCUCCAAAUACACUAUUAAAAGUCAAGGAUCAAAGGCCGGACAAGCUUAUCACUGGAGGCAAUUAUUGAAUGAUGAAAAGAAGGAAGGAGGCAAAGAAGAAACGAAGUAAGAAAAGUCUUCCUUUUUAAGGGAUCAGGCUGGCUACACAGCACAUCCAUAUCCUGUAUAUGAGAAUGAGAGCAGAAUAGGGACCACUACAAUUGACUGUCACCCAGUAAGUACUAUGAGCAUAGCAGUUUGGAACUGACAUGGGCCUUGGAGAUCAUAAUAAGCUGUGCGGUUUUGCUUGCUAAGUUACUCAUGCCCACUGCCACAUCAGCUGAUCUGAACUCACAUUCCCAUACACAAACAUUGAAAACAAAUACUUUCUGGAC